GACAUGGCAGAUCUUGAAAGUACAGCACACAGAGGAAGGAAGGAGUAUCACAAAUACAAGGAUCAAGGCUGACACGCUUAGAAAACGGCAGGACAAGCUCAAAGGAAGAUUUCAAAAGUGAAAUGCAUCUUUUUCUCUGUGAACUCUGCUGCUUUUUGUCUGUGUUCCCAUCAAGGUCUCCUUUCCAGGUAUUAGUCAUGUAGUGCUCUGGGUAACAGUAAAUAAACAGUUUUGUUCUGAGA
rnacentral:lncRNA from 1 species